UACGUAGGUGACAAGCGUUGUCCGGAUUUACUGGGCGUAAAGAGCGCGCAGGCGGUCGUUCAAGUCGAGUGUGAAAGCCCCGGCUCAACUGGGGAGGGUCAUUCGAUACUGAUCGACUCGAAGGCAGGAGAGGGAAGUGGAAUUCCCGGUGUAGUGGUGAAAUGCGUAGAUAUCGUGAGGAAGACCAGUGGCGAAGGCGGAUCUCUGGACAGUUCCUGACGCUGAGGCGCGAAGGCCAGGGGAGCAAACGGG
rnacentral:rRNA from 1 species